GCCCCAGUAGCUCAGAGGAUAGAGCAGCGGUUUCCUAAACCGUUGGUCGGAUGUUCGAGUCAUCCCUGGGGCGCCA
rnacentral:tRNA from 1 species